rnacentral:rRNA from 1 species
ACAUACGACCAUAGGGUGUGGAAAACAGGGCUUCCCGUCCGCUCAGCCGUACUUAAGCCACACGCCGGCGAGUUAGUAGUUGGGUGGGUGACCACCAGCGAAUCCUCACUGUUGUAUGUUU